GAACAGGUGGCACUAGCCACCAUAAAUUUUGAGAUUAAAGUUUUAG
rfam:Cryptosporidium parvum Iowa II chromosome 3, whole genome shotgun sequence.